ensembl:lncRNA FMO6P flavin containing dimethylaniline monoxygenase 6, pseudogene
UGAGGAUCCUGAUACAUAAACCUUGGCUGAUAAUUUCUACUGAAAAAAAUCGUAAGUAUUAAAGACACUCUUCUGAAGAUGUUCUCUCCAGACUCUGCUACAGGCAAUCAUGAGCAAGAGGGUUGGCAUCAUCGGAGCUGGAGUCAGUGGCUUGGCUGCCAUAUGGUGCUGUCUGGAGGAGGGGCUGGAGCCCACUUGCUUUGAAAGGAGCGAUGAUGUUGGAGGCCUGUGGAAAUUCUCAGACCACACAGAAGAAGGCAGAGCCAGCAUUUACCAGUCUGUAUUCACAAACUCUUCCAAAGAAAUGAUGUGCUUUCCAGACUUCCCUUAUCCGGAUGAUUACCCAAACUAUAUACACCACAGCAAGCUCCAGGAAUAUAUAAAGACAUAUGCUCAAAAGAAGGAUCUUUUAAGAUACAUACAGUUUGAGACCCUGGUUUCCGGUAUAAAGAAAUGUCCCAGCUUCUUAGUCACGGGCCAAUGGGUUGUUGUUACUGAAAAGGAUGGGAAACAGGAAUCUACUAUUUUUGAUGCUGUAAUGAUUUGU